UACGUCCAUAUCACGUUGAAACACCGGUUCUCAUCUGAUCGCCGAAGUUAAACAGCAUCAAGCCUGGACACUAACAAGAUGGGUGACCAUUUAGGAAUUCCAGGUACUGUAAG